rnacentral:rRNA from 1 species
CCUACGGGCGGCAGCAGUGAGGAAUAUUGGUCAAUGGGCUUACGCUUGAACCAGCAAAGUCGCGUGAGGGAAGACUGCCCUAUGGGUUGUAAACCCUUUUUGUCAGGGAGCAACGCCGGCUACGUGUAUGCUGACUGAGUGUAGCUGAAGAAAAAGCAUCGGCUAACUCCGUGCGAGCCGCCGCGGUAAUACGUAGGAUGCGAGCGUUAUCCGGAUUUAUUGGGUUUAAAGGGUGCGUAGGCGGAAUGUCAAGUCCGCGGUAAAAUCGCGGGGCUCAACCUCGCUCCGCGGUCGAGACUGGCGUUCUUGAGUGGGCGAGAAGUAUGCGGAAUGCGUGGUGUAGCGGUGAAAUGCAUAGAUAUCACGAAGAACUCCGAGUGCGAAGGCAGCAUACCGGCGCCCAACUGACGCUGAAGCACGAAAGCGUGGGUAUCGAACAGGAUUAGAUACCCUUGUAGUC